ACCCAAAAAAAUCAACUUUGUGUGAAAAAUAAGAUAAAGUAGAUACCUGAUUUUACUUCAAAAAAUAACAUAUAAAACAUAAAAAUUAUUUAUGUCUGUUACUUUGUCAACUGUGUAUGUGUUUGUCUCUGUACAUAAAAUUUGAUAUCAGAGCAGCACCUUCAAAGGUGGAGAUUACACCAGUGACAAUGUGUCUGAGCUUCAGUCUUUCUUGACUUCUUGAUUUGCUCUUGACAUUAACAGCACCAACUUCUACUUGGUUGUGAUGGAUGAGAGGAUGAGACUAGAAUUUUAUGGUCUCCAUGGUGAUGCCAAGUUGCGUUCUUGGCGCACUGUAUGCCCUUAAAUAACACUUAUUAGAUGAAUGGAUGACUUCUAGCAAGAAAGGUCAAAAGCAUAAUCUUCAAAAAAUAGGCUGCCCUAGAGUUCUAAGCAGCCCUACGAAUUCUCCACACUAUUCAUUGAACGGCUAAGAGGUGCUACCCUCUUUGACUUAAGUAGCUAAAGAGCUUAUGUCAAUCAUUUAUAAACCCUCUCUUUAAAAAUAUUCCUCUGUAAGUGAAUAAAAUUCUCUUUGACUAUUUUUCUCGGGAUUAAACAUCUCUAAGUUACAUAUGUCAUGUUUGUAAAUUUUUCUCUGUGAUAGUAUGAAUUUCUCCAUUAAUAUGCCAUAGAAUGUUUCCAGGAAGGAAGAUGAUCCAGCUUUUAUUCUUUAUUCAUGUAU
rnacentral:lncRNA from 1 species